UGGGGAAUAUUGGACAAUGGGCGAAAGCCUGAUCCAGCAAUGCCGCGUGAGUGAUGAAGGCCUUAGGGUUGUAAAGCUCUUUUACCCGGGAUGAUAAUGACAGUACCGGGAGAAUAAGCCCCGGCUAACUCCGUGCCAGCAGCCGCGGUAAUACGGAGGGGGCUAGCGUUGUUCGGAAUUACUGGGCGUAAAGCGUACGUAGGCGGCCCUGUAAGUUAGAGGUGAAAGCCCGGAGCUCAACUUCGGAAUUGCCUUUAAGACUGCAGAGCUAGAAUCGUGGAGAGGUUAGUGGAAUUCCGAGUGUAGAGGUGAAAUUCGUAGAUAUUCGGAAGAACACCAGUGGCGAAGGCGACUAACUGGACACGUAUUGACGCUGAGGUACGAA
rnacentral:rRNA from 1 species